rnacentral:rRNA from 1 species
CACGUAGGGGCCAAGCGUUGUCCGGAAUUAUUGGGCGUAAAGAGCUCGUAGGCGGUUUGUCGCGUCUGCCGUGAAAGUCCGGGGCUCAACUCCGGAUCUGCGGUGGGUACGGGCAGACUAGAGUGAUGUAGGGGAGACUGGAAUUCCUGGUGUAGCGGUGAAAUGCGCAGAUAUCAGGAAGAACACCAAUGGCGAAGGCAGCUCUCUGGGACGGUACUGACACUGAGACGCGAAAGCGUGGGGAGCGAACAGG